GCCCGGUUAGCUCAGCCGGUAGAGCGUUGGACUUUUAAUCCAACGGCCAAGGUUUCAAGUCCCUUAUCGGGCU
rfam:Ciona savignyi cont_32581, whole genome shotgun sequence.